UCUUCCUUAUGUUGCAUACUUUUCCAUCUCCAUCUCCAAUUAAAAUAAUAAUUCAAAUCUGCAAUGGAAAAAAAAGGUUGUUCAUCCAGACCCAAAAUGUAUCCCUUAAGUUGUAUGCUUCUUCAUCUCCAAUCAUCCAAAUUUGUAGCUUUGUUGUUGCUUCAUCAACAACCCAACUGUCUGAUAAUUUAACACCAUUGCUCGCCACUAGUUCAAUGUCUAUCCUCAAGCUUGCCACUCUCUACCAUUGCUUCUGGAUGGAACAAUAUCUCCCCCUCCAAUCUUUUGAGACAAUCGUCAAUAUAACUUCAAAUUUUCAUUACCAAAACGAUGAUGCCCACCCAUAUGAGCAAGCAGUCGUAGCUUACAAGGCUAGAUCUGUUAAACCUCAUCCGCGUUUUCCUUCACUCCCUCUUUUCCCUUAACUCAUUGACCUAAAUUUCUCAACUCAUCAUGUUCACAACCUCUAGAUUUGCUACUUACAAGGCUCGAUUUCACAAUUUCAAGAUAGAAGAUUGAAUUUUGCAAUCCAACAUUCGCAAUCUACCCGCUCCUCCAUCACCUUUGAUCGAACCAUACUUGAGAGAAGUCGAUUUUUUGCAUGUGGCCCUUAUAGGUAGGGGGUGUAAGUUGGACCCAACACUCGCAAGCGCGUUGGUGGAAAGAUGGAGAGUCGAGACACACACUUUCCAUCUUUGAUGCGACGAGUGUACUAUCACUCUAGAGGACGUGUAGUUAAAACUCGGGUUACCAGUGGAUGGGUCCGUAGUGACUGGGAUUGUUCACGCCGAUUGGAAAGUGGUAUCCGACGAACUUUUGGGGCUAGUUCUGGAGACAAUUUUUGGAGGUUGGAUAGAAAUGGCUUGGUUAAAAAGAAAUUUUGGUGAGCUCGAUGAGGAUUCAAUUGAAGUUGAAAGAGAACAACACGCUCGGGCUUACAUUCUUAUGAUAAUUGAGGGUAUCCUAACACUGGAUAAGUCACGAAAUCUCAUACAUUUAAGGUGGUUACUGAAACUUGUCAACUUUAGAGAAACGAGCAAACUCAAUUUGGGGUCCGCCGCGUUGGCGACCUUAUAUUGGGAGAUGUGUCGGGUGACGCAACCAUGAGAAAUUAAAAUUGGUGGUUGCAUGCUACUACUGCAGUCAUGGAUGCAGUAUUGGCUGCCAUUUUUAUGUCCUGAAGCAAACAACCUUUACACUUUCCCCCUCGUAACAAGGUGGAAUCAUGGGUCGAGUUACACGAGAUUACCGAAAGAGUUGCGAGAUAUAUAACUUUUGUUAGACCAACAAUCUAAAGCAGAGUUUGAAUGGACGCCAUACAAGGAUUCGACAAUUCAGGAAUGCAUCCCAUCCGAAUUCCUGGUGAGUUCCAACAUCUAGCCCGUGAAGGUGCCAUUGAUAGUCUAUACUCCCGUGGAGAUGCAUGAUUCGACUAGGGUUUUGUAGCAAUUCAGGUUCAGACAAUCGAUUCCAGUGGCACCUUAGGACCUCGAUAAUCAACAUCCUAUAGACUUGCAGAGGAGGUCGAUGAGAAUUGGAUUAAACUCCAUAUCGAAUAUAUUAACAUGUGGAACAAUCGAUACGAGUUUUUACCUCAUCGUGAGGCCAUUGUCGCUCCGAAGUACAUGCAUUGGUUUAGGCUUCUUGGCAAGCCAUACUUGUUGAGCGAAAAAGAUAGGAGAGGGAAACCACAUACGAGAAGGCCACGACGACCACCAACACAUCUAAGGUUUGGCAAGGCAGGUCCAUCGUCUGUACCUAUGCAAGAGCUGACAAUGAUGCCUACACCACCCUCUGGUUAAUAUGUAUCGUCUUAUUCUAGUGCAUAUGCGAACCCUAUCAUUUUCACACAAGCACCAUAUAUUCCACCACAUUUUUUUGCUUCUACUUCGAUGUCAGGUUUUGUUUUUGGACAUCCGUCCCUGGUAUAUUACACGUCGAUGCCAUCGACGUUUUUGACGACAAUGAUGUCGACAACAACGUAUAGGCCGUCUACGUUUCGACCACUGGCCGAGAGUCCAAUUACUAUGCCAUCGAUAUACUAAACACAAUAUAGUUAUACCCUUACGCCGAUGGUAAAGCAAACACCUCCAAGAUCAUUGUUCUAUCAAGGUGGAUCAUCUUCUCAACCACCUAUUCUUAGACCGGAGGAUGCACGAAGGCAAUCGAGAAGCAACAGGCCGCAAUUAACUACAGAGGAAGGUAAAGAAAAGGAGAGGCCUAUACCACAACCUGUGCUAGAGGUUCAAUCAAGAAUGAAUCUGACUCGUAACCGUAGACGACCUCGAUGUGGCACACAUUCUGACACGGGAUAAUAGUUGAUUUACUUUAUACUAUACUUAUCAUGUUAACAU